ensembl:lncRNA PGM5P2 phosphoglucomutase 5 pseudogene 2
GGGCGGUCCCCAGGCGGGCGGGCGCAGGGCGCAGGGCGCCGACCUGCUGGAGAGGGGGCCCCGGGCGCGAGGCGGAGUCCCGGCGCGCAGCCAGGCUGGUGGGGGCCCCCGGCAGGCUGCAGAUUCCCUCCGGCUCCGGGAGCCGCAGCAGGACCGGCCAGGAGGCGCCAUAGAGGGGAGCCCCAUCCCGGUGCUGACAGUGCCCACCGCGCCCUACGAGGACCAGCGGCCGUCCGGCGGCGGGGGUCUGCGGCGACCCACCGGCCUCUUCGAGGGCCAGCGCAACUACCUGCCCAACUUUAUCCAGAGCGUGCUGUCGUCCAUCGACCUGCGCGACCGUCAGGGCUGCACCAUGGUGGUGGGCAGCGACGGCAGGUACUUUAGCAGGACGGCCAUCGAGAUCGUGGUGCAGAUGGCCGCGGCCAACGGGAUUGGAUGACUGAUUAUUGGACAGAAUGGCAUCUUGUCAACACCUGCGGUCUCCUGCAUUAUCAGGAAGAUCAAGGCAGCUGGUGGAAUCAUUCUAACAGCCAGCCACUGCCCUGGAGGACCAGGGGGAGAGUUUGGAGUGAAGUUUAAUGUUGCCAAUGGAGGUCCUGCACCCGAUGUUGUCUCAGACAAAAUCUACCAAAUCAGCAAAACGAUUGAGGAAUAUGCUAUAUGUCCUGAUCUCCAAAUCGACCUAUCUCGACUAGGAAGACAAGAAUUUGACCUAGAGAACAAAUUCAAACCAUUCAGAGUGGAGAUAGUGGACCCAGUGGAUAUCUAUCUUAACCUCCUUCAGACCAUCUUUGACUUUCAUGCCAUCAAGAGUUUGCUGACUGGGCCCAGCCAACUGAAGAUUCGCGUUGAUGCAAUGCAUGGAGUUAUGGAACCUUAUGUGAGAAAAGUUCUGUGUGAUGAGCUGGGGGCCCCAGCCAAUUCUGCAAUAAACUGUGUUCCCCUGGAAGACUUUGGAGGGCAGCACCCUGACCCAAACCUGACAUAUGCAAUGACUCUUCUGGAAGCAAUGAAAGGAGGAGAAUAUGGAUUUGGAGCUGCAUUUGAUGCUGAUGGGGACCGUUAUAUGAUCCUAGGCCAAAAUGGCUUCUUUGUGAGCCCUUCUGACUCCCUGGCCAUCAUUGCUGCCAACCUCUCUUGCAUUCCAUAUUUCCAUCAGAUGGGGGUCCGCGGGUUUGGGAGGAGUAUGCCAACCAGCAUGGCCCUGGACAGAGAGACAUCUGGUGAUACUAUCUGUUGAUUGCAAAGAAAAAUAUACCCGACUAAUAAGAAGAAAAUGAAUGGUGCAUAAUGACCCAAUCUCCUUUGGAUAUAAUAAAACUAUGCCUGAUUUGUGGUCUUCAUUUACAUUUAGAAUACCUGAAACUUGGUAAUUUAUGAAGAAAAGGAAUUCAUUUCUUACAGUUAUGGAGGCUGAGAAGUCCAAGGUCCAGGGGCAUAACAGCUCAGAGUAAUUUGAUCGUCUGAAGCCUUCUCUCAGCUCUUCAAAGUCAUUCUCCGUCCAGCUUUGUUCCGUUGCUGGUGAGCAGCUGCGUUCCUCUGGAGGAGGAGAGGCGCUCUGAUUUUUAGAGUUUCCAGUUUUUCUGUUCUGUUUUUUCCCCAUCUUUGUGGUUUUAUCUACUUUUGGUCUUUGAUGAUGGUGAUGAUGUACAGGUGGGUUUUUGGUGUGUGGAUGUCCUUUCUGUUUGUUAGUUUUCCUUCUAACAGACAGGACCCUCAGCUGUAGGUCUGUUGGAGUACCCUGCAGUGUGAGGUGUCAGUGUGCACCUGCUGGAGGGUGCCUCCCAGUUAGAAUAACUAAUAUAGAGAAGUGCUUAAAGGAGCUGAUGGAGCUGAAAACCAAGGCUCGAGAACUACAGGAAGAAUGCAGAAGCCUCAGGAGCCGAUGCGAUCAACUGGAAGAAAGGGUAUCAGCAAUGGCAGAUGAAAUGAAUGAAAUGAAGCGAGAAGGAAAGUUUAGAGAAAAAAGAAUAAAAAGAA